rnacentral:rRNA from 1 species
CAGUAGCCGCGGUAAUACGUAGGUGGCAAGCGUUGUCCGGAAUUAUUGGGCGUAAAGGGCUCGCAGGCGGUUUCUUAAGUCUGAUGUGAAAGCCCCCGGCUCAACCGGGGAGGGUCAUUGGAAACUGGGAAACUUGAGUGCAGAAGAGGAGAGUGGAAUUCCACGUGUAGCGGUGAAAUGAGUAGAGAUGUGGAGGAACACCAGUGGCGAAGGCGACUCUCUGGUCUGUAACUGACGCUGAGGAGCGAAAGCGUGGGGAGCGAACAGGAUUAGAUACCCCCGUAGUCCCCUGUCUCUUAUA